GACGAACGCUGGCGGCGUGCUUAACACAUGCAAGUCGUACGGUAAGGCCCUUUCGGGGGUACACGAGUGGCGAACGGGUGAGUAACACGUGAGUAACCUGCCCACAACUUUGGGAUAACGCUAGGAAACUGGUGCUAAUACUGGAUAUGUGCUCCUGCUGCAUGGUGGGGGUUGGAAAGCUCCGGCGGUUGUGGAUGGACUCGCGGCCUAUCAGCUUGUUGGUGGGGUAGUGGCCUACCAAGGCGGCGACGGGUAGCCGGCCUGAGAGGGUGACCGGCCACAUUGGGACUGAGAUACGGCCCAGACUCCUACGGGAGGCAGCAGUGGGGAACAUUGCACAAUGGGCGCAAGCCUGAUGCAGCAACGCCGCGUGCGGGAUGACGGCCUUCGGGUUGUAAACCGCUUUCAGCAGGGACGAAGCUUUUUGUGACGGUACCUGCAGAAGAAGCACCGGCUAACUACGUG
rnacentral:rRNA from 1 species